AGAGCACUGGGAAUGGGGAAAAAAAAAAGAGGAAUGGUUUUAACAUAGAUCUACCUUGUUAUGUGUGUGCAUGUGAAAAAAAGCAAGCUUUCAGACUAAAUAUGAUGGGCCCAGAAUCGUGUUGCCAGUGGGGGCCAAGGGGGUACAACUGAUAAGCCAGAAGAGCCCAGAAGAAACAGCCUCAAUUUCUAGCAGGGACUGUGUGCUACUCUUCGGUGCAAGCCAGACAUGUCCAAAUAUCACACUCAAGACAGGAAUUGGUAUUCAGCAGGAAGACAACGUUUCGGGUGAGAUGUUUGGCUGGCGUAGCUUGGUGCCGCUCCAGUGAGUUCAAAGGAGAAAAGCUGAUUUCCAGGAACCGAGGAUGCAGUCCUGACAAGGGCCUAUCUUACUGCAGAAUCAUUAAAUGCUGUGCCAUGACGGUUAAUCAGAAUAAUAAUGUCGCUCGCACUUGUACACGACUUUGAAGGGGGCAAAACAGUGGAAAAACAAACCCGAACUUUACGUGAUUAAAGCUGUAUUUGGUUUCCCCUGCACCAAACAAGUGCGGACGGUUUGUUUUUCAUUAAAUAAAUACUGAGAAGCUCCCACUUAAGAUGCAUGCUUUGGGAAAACAACACAAAAGGUGGCGAGAAGGCAGAGCUGGAAGAAUCAAAGCAGAAAGCAAAUCAGCAGGUAGGUUGGCUGGACGCUUUCUAGUGAAGCGACUAAUUUCAACCUCUCUCUGCAGGUUCAUUGAACUUUUUCAAAUGUGACCACUUCUGGCAUGCUCACCCUGAGCAACCUCACUUUGAUUUCAGAUUAGUCUCCUCCAAAAGAUUUAGGAAUCCAAAGAGGUCUGGACAAGAAUUUAAUAUGACAGUUUCUUGUAGAACAAACCUCUUACUCAGCAGGACGCAGCGAGAGCCUCCAUUUCAAUUUCUUCAUUACAUGUUAUGCAAGUCAUUACAUGUUAUACCACAAACAUCCUGGUUUAAUCCUUCAGCGCAAACAUGCUAUUUCGGUGAUCUCGCUACAUAACCAUUCUCCUGUGCUUGGUUUUUUUUUUAAGAAGAGAAGGACUACGGGGCAGCGGAGACAUACAAAGCCUCACAAACCUGGAGACUCCUUUUUCCUUUUCAAGUCACUCUGUAUUUUUGCUAAGAACUAAAAUUCCAGCUCAAAUCCUCCUCCCCCCCAACACCAUUUGGAAAUAAGAGGAUUGUGGGGAGGAGGGGGGAUGAAGAUUGUAUAUGUAUGAGCUUCGUACAGACACUAGAUCUAACAUUUGAUCAGGCCCAACCCCAUCUGUUAAUAAUUUAAUUACAGUCCUGCCCAGCAGCCCCAAGCAUCGUUCAGACUCUGUUCCACUAGAUAUGCACAAACAAGGAGUCAGAGAAUCACUGCCCUGAAGAGCUGAUAAAAGAAACUACAGAGAGGCAACAAAGGAUAUAAGCCAAGGUCAGAAAUAUAGGCCUAGACAUUUUGUAGGCCACAGUUGUGUACUUAGGCACUCGUCUGGAUAGGGAUGAGCAGGAUUUAAGGGUUCAAUAUAGUGGGUCUGGGAGUUUGGGUUCAUAACUUCUAUUGAAAUAAAAGAGAGGGAAGUCCAUGGGAGGUAGGCACCUGCACGCCUUUGUGGGGCUGGCUUGACCUGACUUGCCCAAAAUCCUACAGGAAGUCCAUGGUGCUAAACCCAGAUCUCCCAGUCCUUGGUGCCCUACAGCAAGAAGGCCACCAAGAUGCAAACAGUGUAUGCAAGUCUAGGUCUAGACCUGGCCUCUAGCCCAGUCACUAUAACACGUUAACACCAAAAUCUUCUACUAUGACCUGUUAAAACCAAAACCUUAUACAUGCUCACUAUAAGACUAUAACAUGUUAACGCCAAAACCUUCUUCUACUAUGACAUGUUAACACCAAAACCUGAACACCCCUGGUUUUUGAGCAAGUUCAGAUUCAUGUUUCUCAAGCCUGCCCCUCACUUGGAAAAUGCACUGGUCAGAGUGGCCAGAAAGCUGCUCCUUUAUGCCUAAUGAUGACCACAGGAGCCUGACAAAGACCAUUGCACAGACUCCUUUCAUCCCAGAGGACCCUCAACUGCUUUACAAACUACAGACCCAACUUUGAAACAUGCACUCAGUUGGAGUGGUACCUGACCUGAACCUGCAGACUCCAAUGCGAUGCAGAAAUGCAACUGCCCCAGAGCAAGAAUGAAGGAUCAUACAACAAAUGGGCAUGGGGAAUGGAAAACCUGAGGUCAACACCAACCCUUGCUCUUGAAAAAAAAAGAGACUACAGAUGUUUACUGGCUGCAAAAAGUAGAGGUCUAGCACCUAAUAUUUAGGUUCUCACCCAAUGGACUCUCCACCUACAUCAACCUCUGUGUUGUGCAAUGUGUCUAUCUUGCAAGGCAACAGAAAGUAAGAAGAAAUCCAUAAUUUAUAGUGAAUUAAUAGGGAGUUGGGUCCUUCCAUGCAUCAGCUGCCCUGCAGUAACUGUUCAUGUGCCCACCAGCACCUUGCAGAGGCUUGCAUUCAAACACAGCCUCACGGCAGUCACUUUUUCCAAAACAAGGAGGGUUCGAAAUUAUUACAGUUUGGGGGUUUUUUUGCUGUAAUAAUUUCAGCAAAAAAAAAAAAAGUGUUUUUUUUUUGCCUGACUGCUUUUGCCAAAGUUUCAAAUGUCAACAGCAGGAAUGGAUCCACCACGAAAAUACCAUCUUCUUUUUUUAGCCGGCUGCAGAGCGCUUACAGCAAACUCAACGUUUUGAUGAAAACUCAGGAAUAACACUGCGCUGACACACAGCGCUGUUCUGAGGGUCUGAAAGCCUCCAGCAACUAUUGCAAGAACAGCGGUACAAGCAGGUAUGGUUGGUAUUUGCAUUCCCAUUUUACAGCCGGGUUAAACUGUGGCAGAGAAAGGAUCUGUGUCCCAUACUAGGGACAAGGUGCUUAGCGAGCUGAGGUUGUACAUGUAAUGCAGCAAUCUCUUCCUGCCGUAGGAUGCCAGUCCAAGAGAUAUGCUCUAACUAUUAGAUGGUACUUUUCUCCUUCUGAGAAAAACACAGAUGUGCAGGUAUAUUUGCACGUCCAAAGUUACUUGUUACAUUGGGCAAAUUUUGCUUAUGCUUGAAUAUAACACCUCAAGCUGAUAUCUGGCACUGAUUGUGUUUGCGGUCUUUUACAAAUAUAUAUAAAUUAAAAAUAGACAGCUGAGCAUAUGCAUAGGUGGAUCCAACACACAUAUCUGCUUUCACACACAUUCUGAAUCAUACGCUCUUCCAUGCAGGCAGACGUGACGGUAGGACGGAUAAUCAAAUGCCACCAAGGGUCUGAGACUGAAAAGCCUUUUCACAGAGCAUGCAUUAUACCUGCUUUUGAAUUCUUCUCCAGUAUUUCCAACCUUUACAGGGUGCACAGAUUUGAAGCAUAUGUGGGCUACCUGCAGAAAAUAAGCUGUACCUCUGAUUUAUGGAUGCUGCUCAGUGAGGUGAUACGCUCAGACUAAUCUUUCAUUUCUAACAGUGGAAGAACUUUGCAUUUCAUUAACAGGACUCUUCCCACAGCUUGAAACAAGGCCAUCUGCUUACAGGGUUUGUCAGCUAAAAUGCCACGGUGAGGUAAGCUUUGACCUUGUCUAUUUUAAAGCAUACGAAGUGGACAAAGAACACUUCUUCACGGGUUUUUGGUGGAAAACACUUCAAAGUAAUGGGGACAGGGGUAUAAUUUAGGCACUCGCACUUUGUGAAAUAACGGUUCGAUUCAAAGCUCACGGAUGUCAAUAGAAAGACUCCUACUGACUUAAAUAAUCUUUGGAUCCAGCCCCAGAGGUAGAGCCGACAUUCUCAUGCUAAUAGGGCCUGUUGAUCUUAAAGGACGGUUUUCCCAACCGAUCACGCCCAUCCUUCGCCCAAGCUGUGAGCUCACUCGACUGCAGUUGAAAAGUCCCCUCCAGAAACGCCCGUUUCCAAUCCUAGACAAACGUCAUAAUGAAAACGAUGCCUAAAUCCUAGGAGGACGCUCCCGUUGGUCCAAAGGGAGGGUGCAAAAUUUGUCACGUUGAUCUGCAACAUUUCAGGGUUCAAGCUACAUGGAAAGCUGCCCUCCGUGUGGGAAAGUGCACAACACAGAAAGUUAGCGUGAGCCACAGCAACUGGUUUGCAGAUGCAGCUUCCAUGGACAUGAGAUGCAAACACAGGGUUUUAAGGGCCAACUACUGAUUGGAGCUGUACCAGUGCAAAAUGAAAUCACUCCCAUGAAAUGAGCAGGAAGCAAGUCAAAAUUUGGCAGUAUUGGCCAUUCUAAGGUAAAAAAAAAAAAGUCUUAGAUGCUUGCCUAAAUGAAGCAUGAACCUUUCUUGCAAGCCUUUUACUCCCUGACACCAACCACAUGCUGCAAAAAUCCUUCCUGUCUGUACACCUGCAAAGGGGCUUGUGAGUAGCAAACAGUCCCGCUCCACUACCAUCAGGCUGAGUCGGCUGUCAGAUCAGGAGCGUAACCUGGAUCUUAUCCGUGGCAGCACAGAAAUGAAACUACGUGGCUGCUUCUCUCUCAAAUCCCUGUGGAGGCUGAUUUCUAGUUUAACUUUCCCCUUUCUGCAUCUCUGACUCAAGCAGAUUGUGGCAAUGUUUGGGGUGGAAAAAAAUAAGCACAGAGGAACAGUGUUGUAAUAAAGAAGCUAUGUCCACUACAUUAAAAAUCAUGAAAUAAUACUACCAGCACCAUGCCUAGUGCUUGGCACAUAGAAUAAAAACACAGUGACGUCCCUAAAAAGCUCAGAAUCAAUUCUUUUGGGCUUAGAUUUAAUUUAAUUGUAUUUAUGAUGAAUUACAUUAAGGUGUCCAGAGCCUUCAAUAGGCAUCUUUUAAGUUGCUUUUUUUUAAAAAAAAAAUCUGAAUUGAAUAUACUUAAGCAAAACUAAAAACACUUCCUUAUUAUGCAGGUCCAUGCAACUGUAACUCAGAUUGCAAAGCAAGCACCUUCUGCAAUGCAAUAUCCUAUUCUAUUGUUGUUGGACUGGCAUUUUCAUUUCCACAGAAAUUUGCUUUCCGUUUCAGAGUUCAAGCAUUAGGAAGAUAAUCUUCAUUUACCAAGUAUGCGUGAAUUGUGCCGGCUUAUUUCUUACAUACGGCCUUUCCUAUUCAUAGACUCUGGAAGAGAAGAGGCAACUUCUUUAUUAAGGUUCCUCUAAAAGGGGAAGACUGCAGCAGAUCCCAGGACUUCCGAUGGGGAAGUCCUUUUAGGUUACUCAAGGUUUAUACAAGAGGCAAGAAUUUCUUUGGGUGCUACCUUUUAUUGGACCAACUGCAUUAGUUGGCAUAGAGUUAAACAAGCUUUUCAAUGCAAAAGACACAAAAAUUAGAAUCACUUAUGGGCUUAAGAGCCUGCAAGUAGGUUUAUGCAUGUUAUCAAGAGCUGGCCAUUUGAACUUAUAGUUUCCAUAUCCUUCACCCUACCUGCAUACAACCAGCUAACUUCAGUGCAGAAUAGCUAAAUACCACCAGAAAUACAGUUAAUUCUACAUAGAAACAUGAUGUCAAAGAAAGCUGCUCGGGCUGCUUUUUACAGACACCGUGCAAAAGUCUGGCAGUUUGGGAGGUAUCAGAUAUAAUGAAAGCAAGCUGCAAUGAUCACCAAAGGGAUGCCCAAAGAUAACGGUAAUCAGAUCUCUCAGGAAAGGAGGGAAAAGACCCAGACGAAAAAGAUCCUUAUCAGACUCUGCCAGGAGCAACUUUUCAGAAGAAAUUAAAAACAAUCCCUGCAGGUUUAAAUUCCCACCCUUCUUGGAUGAUAUUAAUUGCAAGCAUCCGCGUCCCCUUUCCAAGAAUCGUCGCUGAAAAGCGUGCAGUGAAACAAAAGGGGAAAAUUCACAAGCUUUACGUUUCUUCGUUAUGUUCUUGCCUCUGCUAGAUAAAACACUCCCGAUUUUCAGGUGGCCGUCUCCACUCCAACUGCUGCCAGACCGUGGCGGGCAGUUGCAUUUAACUACCCCCAUUAGUGCAGCCAAACUGAGCCACUUGCAAUGAGAUGCGCUGGAAACCUGGUCCAGGAUUUGCUGCGUUCAGCAUUAAGUGUCACACAACGAUAAGAAUCAAUUCUGCCCAGCUGGACACAGAUUGAAAAUCUUAAUAGUUAUUGAAAUCUUUUUUUCAAUAUACAGUCUCCACAAACAUGCAGUGCUCAAGGGUUUUGUGGACCUCAAUUUGGCCAGGUAUUGUAGCACGUGCCUGACUUCAAGCAUCUGAGCAAUUCCAUUGAAUAGUCACCUGCUUAAAAGGUAGGCACAUGCUUGAUUAGAUGCAUUAUUAUUCAUAUAAAACUAUCCCACAUUUGUGGCACUGGUGGUGUUCCUGUUACAUCUUCUGCAGCCAGUGUCAGAGGCGGGUAGCGGACCAGACGAUAUGCAAGGUAUUUACAUGUGAAAUGGAGAGAGUUAUCUUUAUCCUACGGAGACAGCAAAUGAAGCAGUGGUAGAGACAAAAAUUCCCAUUUAUUCCGGGGCACCAGAGUUUAGACAAGGCUUUUAAACCGUACUUUACUUCCCACGGGCCAGUGACUCUCAACCAGGGUGCUGAAGCACCUGCCUGGCCACUGCCCUGUCCCCUGUGCAAGGAUCUGAGCCCUGCAAUAAAGAAACUAGUGUCUGGAAUGGGGUGCCGCUCAAUUCACACCAGUGAUGGGGAGUGUCUCGAGUCAAACCAUGGGUGCUAUGAAUCUAAUAAGGUUGCGACCGCUGCCAUCGACACUGUACGAGAAAUGGGAGGAAUGAAAAAUGAAUAGGUAUGAAGGGGGGGUUGUAUUGCAAAUGAAAGACACUGCACAUGCCAGAUGCUAAAAAACCUUUAUUCCUUUUAUUUGUCUAGCAGAUAUGCUGAAAAGCACAGCAGACCAACUUGUCUCCCUGCUGCAUUUGAUUGGCUUCCUUGAGUAUGAAUGCGGGCAGCUUUUGCUUGCAUAUCUAGAAGGCGAGCUACUCUAAUCCCCUAUCAUCAAAAUAAUUUGAUGUCUUUGGUUUUCUAGCCAGCGGAUAGUAGUUUAACCAUGCAACCCAUUCCUCUCCGUCCCCAACCCCAAUCUAUGCAUCAGGAGUAGAGGCAGGAGGAGCAGGCUGUAAGGUUUCUAUGCUGUUUUCAAUGGGACCUUUCGUUGCAAUUUCAAAGGUUGAUGAAAAAAAACCUGCCGCCAUGAAAAUAUCACCUACAUUUUUGCAACAAGGCCCUUCACAUGUCUCAAUUGACCCAUUUUUCAAGCAAAAAAAAAAAAAAUCAUCAUUAAUUUCAGUUGGGGAAUCUGACGCAGCAGGGCUUAUGCCUCUAACGACAGGCACCUGCAACCCAAACUAGUGAACACCGGGGAAAAAUGUGGCCUGGGCAAAUAUCAUUCAGUUAGCCACAAAAUUCUCCAUUGGGCUUUGGAUCGAGACUCAAAUAUACAUAUCCAAGGGCGGUCGUUCUCAAUAUGCUGUCGUACAGGACAAAGCUAGCCUAUCUUUCUCCUUACAGCACCCGUAUAACAUUUGUAACCUGCCAUAUUUCCUUGCAGAAGUUCUCCUGGUUCGUUUUCAAAGGGUGCCCUGGGUUCAGUAGCUAUUGCUGUCUGUGGCAACCUGCUCCCCAUGCUGUUAUGCUCUGUAUAAUGUUCUGUAUAAUGACACACCGGGUAUCGAAGCCAACCAGGCUGCAUAGGCAGGACUGUGCUGCCGUAACCAGAUGCUGUGUAAAUUGGUACGAUGGGGCCCGAAGGAGUCUGUGCUUACGGGAGCUUAAAGAAGAAGUAAUGAACAUGCUUUAAGAAGGCUUCAGUUCGAGUAGCUCUAACUAACCCUUUGCUUUCUUUAUUAGGAGAAACCACUUGUAUUGUAGAGGUCCCAUUCAAGAAGGUGGCUUCGUGGAUCUAGCCACUAUGCAAACACACUGGGGGGGAAAAAAAGACCAGUUGUCCCAAACAGCCCGCAUCCUAAAUAGGCGAGCUGGUAGAGGAUGGGUGCUAACAAACUCCCCUCCCCGUUACAGAGGAAGAACCAAGGCACAAGAGACUGACUGCAUAGUCCAGAGUUAUAGAGGGAGCCCCACUCCCUCCUCUACAUGAAAAGACGCUGUUGAUCAAACCCCUUCCAAAGCCCGGCGUAUGGUCCUUUGUAUGGAGCAAAUUAUGAUGCAUGCAGCAAACCCACUGGCCUUAUCUCCAAGUUAGUACAAAAUGCCAUGAAUAAGCCUUAAGUGGCUUUGCAGUGAGAUGUGCCGCCCUGUUGCAUUACCAACAGAACUGAAGAGUCAAUACAUAAAUUAUAAAUAUGGUGAACCUCCCUUACAAUAACACAUGUCCGUUUGUAGAGAAAACAGGAACGUCUUGCCCUUGCUGCCAGUACUUAAGCAAGGAGCAAACGGCUAUUAUUGCAGUCUAGGGUAUAAAUUGGCGACACGGGCAAACAGGUUGCAAAGAUCCCAGCCCUGUGAUCCGACCUGAAGACACGCAUCUUGUACCUCAUCCUUAGAAAAAUCUAUUUCCAUGUUCCUGUUCUCAACGGGUUUUUUUGCAAUCUAGCACACGUUUAAAUUACUGUCUGGGUAAUCAGCAUUUGGGGAGACAAAUGGUCCCUGGUAGACAAGUGACAGCCGCUGCUGCUUUAUUCAUUUUUUUUUCCUCCUGCAGAGUGGAAUGAGGAUUAACUCGUUAUGAAAUCAGACUCCAUAUGUAUCCACAGAUGAGCCAGCCACUGCAGCAAAUAAAACUGAAGGCAGUACCUAC